rnacentral:tRNA from 1 species
GCCUUCGUGGUGUAACGGUAGCACACUUGGCGCGCAUUCCAGAGGUGCAGGUUCCAGUCCUGGCGAGGGCA